rnacentral:rRNA from 1 species
UAAAACCAGCACCUCAAGUGGUCAGGAGGAUUAUUGGGCCUAAAGCAUCCGUAGCCGGCUCUGUAAGUUUUCGGUUAAAUCCAUGUGCUCAACGCAUGGGCUGCCGAAAAUACUGCAUAGCUAGGGAGUGGGAGAGGUAGACGGUACUCAGUAGGAAGGGGUAAAAUCCUUUGAUCUAUUGAUGACCACCUGUGGCGAAGGCGGUCUACCAGAACACGUUCGACGGUGAGGGAUGAAAGCUGGGGGAGCAAACCGGAUUAGAUACCCGGGUAGUCCCAGCUGUAAACGAUGCAGACUCGAUGAUGCAUUGGCAUAUAGCCAGUGCAGUGUCGCAGGGAAGCCGUUAAGUCUGCCGCCUGGGAAGUACGUACGCAAGUAUG